GGGGAGAUUCCAGAGUGGUCAAAUGGGGCAGACUGUAAAUCUGUUGGCUCAGCCUUCGGAGGUCCAAAUCCUUCUCUCCCCA
rnacentral:tRNA from 1 species